rnacentral:lncRNA from 1 species
UAAAUAUUAUAAAUAUACUUUCUUCCUUUCUGUUUGUUUCGUGUCGAAUACAUUUUAUUCUUUUUGUGUUCUUUUGAGAGGGCCUUGCCUUAAAGUUUCUUUAGUGAGCAUGUUAAUAGUCUCGAGCGAUUAGGUGAUUCCGACCAUUGUCGAAUUGAUUCCUUCCCUUAAGGGAAUGUAGGUGUAGAUGGCCUUGGCCAUAGAUAGACGCUUUUGGUCGUCACGUUCCUCCGCAUGACGGGAGUGGGUUGUAGCCGUGUUUGGACAGUAGCAGCAUAUAGCCUUUGUCUCAGUUCGGGCUCAGUCGGACUACUGGUCGUGGUAAUGAAAAGGCACAGCUUCGCAGUUUGACUUGGGCCGAACUUUGCAUGGGCCAAAACUUUAAAAUUGAGUUAUUCGUACUUACUUGAAUGGCGGGGUUGUUUGGCCUGACCUGUGUGCCGAGCGUUAUAACAUUUCCAAGCAUUGUCUUGAGCUUCUUGUAAUGCAUCCAUUUUGUGCUUGUCCUUGNNNNNNNNNNNNNNNNNNNNNNNNNNNNNNNNNNNNNNNNNNNNNNNNNNNNNNNNNNNNNNNNNNNNNNNNNNNCUGCUAUAUAUCGCUUAUUGCUUUGUUUGACAUUCAUCAAAACCUACAAAAGAACACACGUUUAGUAUAUUGCAUUUGAAACGUGUUUCCAACACCGAUGAGAGUUGCCUACGUAUCUCACACCGUGUGAGAAUCAAAUCAGCGUAGUUCCGGCAAAGAAAUUAAACUAAUUUUGAAAGCAGGACUACUUUCUUUCGUUUUUCAAAUACAUCAUACUAAAAAACUUUUUUUUUUUCAUUUUCACAAAAUUUUGGCAAAGUUUCUACAUUAUUUGGGCACUGGAUUUUUCUUAAAAAAAAAGGUGAUUAUCUCUCUAUACUGUUAUUUUUUCCUUUUUCUCUUUUUCCUAAUUUUCCUAUAUUCCCGUAUUUUCAGAAGCUGGUCACUAUGCAAAUAUGAAGCAGAUAAAUGUGUAAAACAAGUAAGAUGCAGCAGGAUGAUCAUUUCAUUUCAGGUUACUUGUCCUAGACAUACACAACCCCUGUGUUGAGUCCCCUAAGUCAAAUACAAAUGAGGCAAAAGAGCGUUCCUACUAGGGAUCUGGCAUGAGGCUUUGUUAUACUAAGUUUAAAACCUGGGUGUUUGUUCAAACCUGGCUUACCCGAGCGGACAACUCGAACCAAGGAUGUGAACUGUGUACCGGUAACUAAAGGGGCAUCCAGUUUUGCAACCCCUCCGAAUCCUCUUUCUAUUUUGGGAUAUGACACUAACAGAAAGAAGUCACGACCGGCGUGCACUCCUCAGGAGAGAGAAGAGAAUGUUUUGGCACAGUUUAUAUAUACAUUUCAAAUAAUAUCAAAACGGUAAAAAGCAUCAUUUAGCACAUUUAAGCCCAAUCAUAUAAUAAAUAAAGCCAAACACAACAAUUAUUCUAAGCUCGAAUUCUUGAACCCUGAACAAAAAGUUAUGGGUUCUUGUUCUCCCCAGCAGAGUCGCCAGAGCUGUCACACCUCCUUUUUACCCACGCCAACGGGGGGGGGGGUAAAUGAUUUUUUCCAAUUAAAGGACAAUCGAAAUGGGAUUUGUUAUUAAUAUUCAGACUCUCCACUUGGGAGAUUUAUGGUGUCCCAAGUAACCGGUUGAAUCCCGAAUCGAGGAAAAAUUGAAUCUGUAUUACAGUCCGCGAACCUGAAAUCCAGGUAAGAAAUUCUGUUAACCCGGGAGAAGGUGUUAGGCAUUCCGAGUUUCGUGGUUCUAGCACGAUCGCUCACCUAUCAUAUUCGGCUUAUUUAUCUGAUUCUAUGAAGGUUGAGUCUAUGUGCAAAUUAUAACUCUUUACCGCUUUUAUUAUUAUCUUAGCAGAGAAUUGCAUCGUCAUGAAAAUGCAUCUCGAACUGCGUCACAUAAAUGUAUCCGCAGUGUUUGACACGUUCCAACUUCGCUUAGAUUUGAAUUUGGGUCACAUAAAUGUGCACCCGAGAUUAGGGAGAUAACAUUAUUAAAUACGCGCCUAAAGAUACUAAUGCGUUAUUAUUCUAGGAAAAGGCCGUGAAAUUCACAUAACGGCCCGUUGCGAAACCUAAGAAUUUUCGCUAUAUAUACAUUUAGCACGGGCCUUGCAAUUAUUGCACUCUUAUUUGGCGAGGCUCGUUUUAUUUAUCAGUUAAGGACAUCCUAAAGCGACUAUAUUUUUCUAUAUUAUUUGUCUCUAAAGAAGACAGCCUAAUUAAUUAACAUGCUUGAAAAGGCCCUAACUUAUUAGUUAUUAGAUUAAAACGAAAGCAAACGGAAAAUUGCACUUGAACUUGUACAAAGGGAUAGUCCGUCAUAGGCUUUUGCCCAGGUCCAUACGAACACAUGAAUUUGACUGGACUUGGGCCAUUUACUGGAGUGCUAAGGCCCGAAAACCUUGUAAAAAUAGGUUAAUUCAUUAAACCAAAAGGAUCCACAAUUUUAACCAUACUAAAUGCUUACUGAAGUUACUCAACAUUAGUACAAGUGUGUUCGACAAUUUACAAUGACCAAAUUUACAACUUGGAACAUUUAUUCUAAUUUUUUUGUCAAAAUUACUUCGUUAACUUCAAAUGACUAAUUUACUUUCACAUAUUAACUAAAUUUAGAACCCCUAACCGCGUGAGGUUAUUGCAACGUGAACUAAAGAUAACACUUAAUAAAAUUAUACUCACCAAAAUGGAUUAAUAACCAUGCUGCAAAAUCAGUUUAAUUACCCAGGUUGAAUACUAACGGUAAUUGACUAAAUGUUCUAUCUCACUUUUUAUGAACUGCCUUUGAACCAAACUAAUUUUGUACUUACAAACCUGCAGUUAUUUUGAAUUUUUUUAUCAGCUUCAAUGCCUGGGAUUGUCCAAAUUAUACGUGCUUAACAAUUAUGAUGCCUCAACCAUAUCUUCUAUCCAUUUAACAUAAUGUAACUUAAAUGACUCAGCUACUUUGAACACGAGCCUAUUGCAAUUCAGAGUGACUUUAAAACAGCUUAGCAAAGUUUUCUUCGAUCCCAGCUUGAAACAUUUUGGACAUAUUCAUGAAACUCAGAAAUCACUCAACUAACUUAAACUAUUACCUGAUAUUCAACUAACAGAAAAUAUUAACUAACUCAAUAGGGCAUUAUUACCACCAAUAUUCGACCAAAACUCGUAUGUAUUUCUACAUUCCUAACACACACUUGAUAGACUAAAUGAAUAAACUCAUGUUCAACAGUUCAUCAGUCCAAUUUAUACAUUCCAGAAUCAGUCUAAUACACAACAUGCCAUAUCGAAUAAACUAUUGUUUUACACAUUGAAAUCAGACAAACAAAAGGAGUCCAGAGUUCUGCUUCACGCAACAUUUCUACUUUAUUUCCAUAAACUUGAAGGAUUUAGAAUAUGUACCUGGAUAAUGGAAAUACCAGAAGAAAAAGAGGAAGUCAGUAGCAGGUAACAACACAGCAACAACAGCAACCCAGCAACAACAAUUCAAACCAAAUUCGAAGCCCAAAAAAUUGAAUAAAACCAAACAAGCUAGAUAUAACAGCCCCAAAAUAAUACCAAAACUUAAGUUUGAACACAGGGACUGAAAUGCAAACAACCAACUUUUCUUUUUAAUGUAACGAUAACCUUUCCUCACUCUCAAAAUUGAAAUGUUAAGAGCUUUUGACCUUUCUCUGAACUGAUAAAAAAACGAUGCUCUUAAGAAUUCUCAAAAUGUUGUCUAAGAACUCUUCAAACUCUCUUUCAAUGCUUUUAGAAGUAUUCCCAAACUCUCAACACUCUAUUUUUUGUAUUCAAGCUUUGAAAUCUUUAACUCUUUAAAAUUCCCCUUUAAUUGAUUAAAAAACUCCAUCUUACUCUGUCCU